GACGAACGCUGGCGGCGUGCUUAACACAUGCAAGUCGAACGGAAAGGCCCUGCUUUUGGGGGGUUCUCGAGUGGCGAACGGGUGAGUAACACGUGAGUAACCUGCCCUUGACUGUGGGAUAACUUCAGGAAACUGGGGCUAAUACCGGAUAGGAGCUCCUGCUGCAUGGUGGGGGUUGGAAAGUUUCGGCGGUUGGGGAUGGACUCGCGGCUUAUCAGCUUGUUGGUGGGGUAGUGGCUUACCAAGGCUUUGACGGGUAGCCGGCCUGAGAGGGUGACCGGCCACAUUGGGACUGAGAUCCGGCCCAGCCUCCUACGGGAGGCAGCAGUGGGGAAUAUUGCACAAUGGGCGGAAGCCUGAUGCAGCAACGCCGCGUGCGGGAUGCCGGCCUUCGGGUUGUAACCCGCUUUCGCAUGUGACGAAGCGUGAGUGACGGUAAUGGGUAAAGAAGCACCGGCUAACUACGUG
rnacentral:rRNA from 1 species